GGGGCUGUAGGGUAGCUUGGUCCAUCCUCUCUGGUUUGGGACCAGAGGACCCCAGUUCGAAUCUGGGCAGCCCCA
rnacentral:tRNA from 1 species